rnacentral:rRNA from 1 species
AUUGAACGCUGGCGGCAGGCCUAACACAUGCAAGUCGAACGAGUGGCGGACGGGUGAGUAAUGUCUGGGAAACUGCCUGAUGGAGGGGGAUAACUACUGGAAACGGUAGCUAAUACCGCAUACCAUCAGAUGUGCCCAGAUGGGAUUAGCUAUUGGGUGGGGUAAAGGCUCACCAAGGCGACGAUCCCUAGCUGGUCUUAGAGGAUGACCAGCCACCAUGGAACUGAGAAACGGCCCAGACUCCUACGGGAGGCAGCAGUGGGGAAGAUUGCACAAUGGGCGCAAGCCUGAUGCAGCCAUGCCGAGGGUAUGAAGAAGGCCUUCGGGUUGUAAAGUACUUUCAGCGGGGAGGCGUUACCCGCAGAAGAAGCACCGGCUAACUCCGUGCCAGCAGCCGCGGUAAUAC